GGGCGCGUAGCUCAGCUGGUUAGAGCACCACCUUGACAUGGUGGGGGUCGUUGGUUCGAGUCCAAUCGCGCCUACCA
rnacentral:tRNA from 1 species